GUGGGGAAUAUUGGACAAUGGGCGCAAGCCUGAUCCAGCCAUGCCGCGUGAGUGAUGAAGGCCUUAGGGUUGUAAAGCUCUUUCACCGAUGAAGAUAAUGACGGUAGUCGGAGAAGAAGCCCCGGCUAACUUCGUGCCAGCAGCCGCGGUAAUACGAAGGGGGCUAGCGUUGUUCGGAUUUACUGGGCGUAAAGCUCACGUAGGCGGUUUGUUAAGUCAGAGGUGAAAUCCCGGAGCUCAACUCCGGAACUGCCUUUGAUACUGGCAAGCUAGAGUCCGGAAGAGGUAAGUGGAACUCCUAGUGUAGAGGUGGAAUUCGUAGAUAUUAGGAAGAACACCAGUGGCGAAGGCGGCUUACUGGUCCGGAACUGACGCUGAGGUGCGAAAGCGUGGGGAGCAAACAGGAUUAGAUACCCGAGUAGUCC
rnacentral:rRNA from 1 species